GGAGGGUGCAAGCGUUAUCCGGAAUCACUGGGUUUAAAGGGUGCGUAGGCGGUGGCGUAAGUCAGUUGUGAAAUUCCCCGGCUUAACCGGCGGGACUGCGAUUGAUACUGUGUCACUUGAAUCAGGAUGAGGUAGGCGGAAUGUGGCAUGUAGCGGUGAAAUGCUUAGAUAUGCCAUAGAACACCGAUUGCGAAGGCAGCUUGCUGGACCUGAAUUGACGCUGAGGCACGAAAGCGUGGGGAGCAAACAGGAUUAGAUACCCUGGUAGUCCACGCCCUAAACGAUGUUUACUUGCUGUGCGUUUUUCGGAAUGCGUGGCGAAGCGAAAGCGAUAAGUAAACCACCUGGGGAGUACGCCGGCAACGGUGAA
rnacentral:rRNA from 1 species